rnacentral:pre_miRNA from 1 species
GUAUUACUCCCUCCGUUCGGAAUUACUUGUCGCAAAAAUGGAUGUAUCUAGACGUAUUUUAGUUCUAGAUACAUCCAUUUCCGAGACAAGUAAUUCCAAACGGAGGGAGUACAUG